GAUGAACGCUGGCGGCGUGCCUAAUACAUGCAAGUCGAGCGAACGGACGAGAAGCUUGCUUCUCUGAUGUUAGCGGCGGACGGGUGAGUAACACGUGGAUAACCUACCUAUAAGACUGGGAUAACUUCGGGAAACCGUAGCUAAUACCGGAUAAUAUUUUGAACCGCAUGGUUCAAAAGUGAAAGACGGUCUUGCUGUCACUUAUAGAUGGAUCCGCGCUGCAUUAGCUAGUUGGUAAGGUAACGGCUUACCAAGGCAACGAUGCAUAGCCGACCUGAGAGGGUGGUCGGCCACACUGGAGCUGAGACACGGUCCAUGCUCCUACGGGAGGCAGCAGUAGGGAAUCUUCCGCAAUGGGCGAAAGCCUGACGGAGCAACGCCGCGUGAGUGAUGGAGGUCUUCGGAUCGUAAAACUCUGUUAUUGGGGAAGAACAUAUGUGUAAGUAACUGUGCACAUCUUGACGGUACCUAAUCAGAAAGCCACGGCUAACUACGUG
rnacentral:rRNA from 1 species